GAGAGGUUUCUGAUCAUGAGAAUGGGGGAAUUUAGGGCAUUUGGUACUUGCGAGUUGGUCCUAACGUUGAUGAGUUGUUCGUAAUGCUGGUUGUCGGGUGAGGAGUUGUAGUCCGGUGGAGGAGCCUUCGCGACCAUGCUUUUGACAAACGCCCAGGUUUUCGUGGUUGAGCAGCUAGGGUUCAGGCGCCUCCAGAUGGUUUUGUUUGUGACACAGCAUAUACCCCCUUUCUUGGGAUCGCAAGCGUUUUUUGCUCUUCUGGCCA